GCGCAUCUAUGACGUCAUCACGUUAUACGUCCAUGUGAUCCCACAGCCUAUAUAAACCUGAUGCUCAUGCAAUGGCGCUGUGUCACCGUGUGUACACCCUGGGACACAGACGCAUUGCUGCUGCAAUCAGUUAUAGGGCCUGUACAAAAGCCCCAUACAAAGGCUGCUACAGAAAGGGUUUCUCUAUGUAAGCCCCUCCACAUUGCUGUUAUACUGCCAUCUGUUGUCCCAGUGUGCUCAGGACUUCAUAAAAAUAGUCCGAGUAUUAACUCUUCCUGUGGUACAUAUCUUCCACCUUUUGGACUUGCAGUCUUGACUCUUUCGACUCACCUAAGAUUUUCGAUAUAUGGAAACUUGUGCCUAAAGCUUACCUUCCGACUUGGUAUAUUUCCAUCUUAUAUGCCCCGUGGACGCACCCAUCGAGGGACCACCAGCCAUGUAAAUACACACUAUGACACUUUUAUGCAUUGCAUUUUAUUUUAAUUCUAUAUUUUGAUUAAUAUUUUUGUUUGACUAAUAUGCCACACUGUAUCAUUG